GAGGGGCAGCGGGGGCGAAGCUUGCUUCGCCUGCCGGCGACCGGCGCACGGGUGAGUAACACGUAUGCGACCUGCCCCCCGCAGGGGGAUAACCGGGAGAAAUCCCGACUAAUACCGCGUAACGCCGCGGGGCUGCAUGGCCCCGCGGCCAAAGGAAGCGAUUCCGGCGGGGAAUGGGCAUGCGGCGCAUUAGCUAGUCGGCGGGGUAACGGCCCACCGAGGCGACGAUGCGUAGGGGUUCUGAGAGGAAGGUCCCCCACACUGGUACUGAGACACGGACCAGACUCCUACGGGAGGCAGCAGUGAGGAAUAUUGGUCAAUGGGCGUAAGCCUGAACCAGCCAAGUCGCGUGAGGGAAGACGGUCCUACGGAUUGUAAACCUCUUUUGCCGGGGAGCAACGGGGUCCUUGCGAGGGCCUUAUGAGAGUACCCGGAGAAAAAGCAUCGGCUAACUCCGUGCCAGCAGCCGCGGUAAUACG
rnacentral:rRNA from 1 species